UUAGGUUAAGUUAGAAAGGGCGCACGGUGGAUGCCUUGGCACUAGGAGCCGAUGAAGGACGGGACUAACACCGAUAUGCUUCGGGGAGCUGUAAGUAAGCUUUGAUCCGGAGAUUUCCGAAUGGGGGAACCCACUGUUCGUAAUGGAACAGUAUCUUUGCCUGAAUACAUAGGGCAUUGAAGGCAGACCCGGGGAACUGAAACAUCUAAGUACCCGGAGGAAGAGAAAGCAAACGCGAUUCCCUGAGUAGCGGCGAGCGAAACGGGACAUAGCCCAAACCAAGAGGCUUGCCUCUUGGGGUUGUAGGACACUCUACAUGGAGUUACAAAGGAACGGGGUAGAUGAAGUGGUCUGGAAAGGCCCGUCAGAGAAGGUAAAAACCCUGUAGUUGAAACUUCGUUCCCUCCUGAGUGGAUCCUGAGUACGGCGGGACACGUGAAAUCCCGUCGGAAGCUGGGAGGACCAUCUCCCAAGGCUAAAUACUCCCUAGUGACCGAUAGUGAACCAGUACCGUGAGGGAAAGGUGAAAAGCACCCCGGAAGGGGAGUGAAAGAGAUCCUGAAACCGUGUGCCUACAAGUAGUCAGAGCCCGUUAAUGGGUGAUGGCGUGCCUUUUGUAGAAUGAACCGGCGAGUUACGAUCCCAUGCAAGGUUAAGUUGAAGAGACGGAGCCGCAGCGAAAGCGAGUCUGAAUAGGGCGAAUGAGUAUGUGGUCGUAGACCCGAAACCAGGUGAUCUACCCAUGUCCAGGGUGAAGGUUGGGUAACACCAACUGGAGGCCCGAACCCACGCACGUUGAAAAGUGCGGGGAUGAGGUGUGGGUAGCGGAGAAAUUCCAAUCGAACUUGGAGAUAGCUGGUUCUCUCCGAAAUAGCUUUAGGGCUAGCCUCACGUUGUAAGAGUCUUGGAGGUAGAGCACUGUUUGGACUAGGGGCCCUCAUCGGGUUACCGAAUUCAGACAAACUCCGAAUGCCAAAGACUUAUCCGUGGGAGUCAGACUGCGAGUGAUAAGAUCCGUAGUCAAAAGGGAAACAGCCCAGACCACCAGCUAAGGUCCCAAAGUAUACGUUAAGUGGAAAAGGAUGUGGAGUUGCUUAGACAACCAGGAUGUUGGCUUAGAAGCAGCCACCAUUUAAAGAGUGCGUAAUAGCUCACUGGUCGAGUGACUCUGCGCCGAAAAUGUACCGGGGCUAAACGUAUCACCGAAGCUGUGG
rnacentral:rRNA from 1 species